rnacentral:tRNA from 1 species
CAUAGUAUAGCUUAUCAAGCAUCCCGCUUACACCGAGAAGAUAUCUACUACCUAGAUUACUGUGA